rnacentral:rRNA from 1 species
GAUGAACGCUGGCGGCGUGCCUAAUACAUGCAAGUCGAACGAAACUUCUUUAUCACCGAGUGCUUGCACUCACCGAUAAAGAGUUGAGUGGCGAACGGGUGAGUAACACGUGGGCAACCUGCCCAAAAGAGGGGGAUAACACUUGGAAACAGGUGCUAAUACCGCAUAACCAUAGUUACCGCAUGGUAACUAUGUAAAAGGUGGCUAUACUACCGCUUUUGGAUGGGCCCGCGGCGCAUUAGCUAGUUGGUAGGGUAAAGGCUUACCAAGGCAAUGAUGCGUAGCCGAAUUGAGAGGUUGAUCGGCCACAUUGGAACUGAGACACGGCCCAAACUCCUACGGGAGGCAGCAGUAGGGAAUCUUCCACAAUGGGCGAAAGCCUGAUGGAGCAACGCCGCGUGGGUGAAGAAGGUCUUCGGAUCGUAAAACCCUGUUGUUAGAGAAGAAAGUGCGUGAGAGUAACUGUUCACGUUUCGACGGUAUCUAACCAGAAAGCCACGGCUAACUACGUG